AGCCCCCGUGGGCAUUCUGUUGUUUUAGGAUCCACCUCACAAUGCCGGUGGCGGAAGUCAGUUCUUUGGAGGUCAGGGCAUCCUGAGCUGUGAGGUAAGCGAGGAGCACAUAGGAUGUCAUCUCCACCUCAGCUGAGGGAGCCUGGGGUUCGUAAAAAUGCUCCACUGGUGCCCUGGGUUUCUGAGGUCGCUCCCAGUGGAUGGAAUUAGCUGGAGAUGAGAAACAGAGACAUGAAGCUGAAGACAAGAAGAAACCCACAGUAAGGCUGAAAAUGAGAGGAGAUAAAAGUUCUCCACCAUUACCCUGAAAAUGAGAGGAGGCACUGGUGUCUUUUAGGCAAACAUUUAUGGAUUACCAGAUGGAUUUUAAAUGCAACUUUGGAAACACUUUACUGUGAACAAAAUUCCCAGGAUUUUCUCCUAAACAGGGGAUAAAACCAGAUACCAUCUUCACAUCAACAAUCACCAUAUUGGAGACAGGACGGCUCCCUGUGUAACUACAGUGUCAAAGGGAAAAGGAGUAAGGGCUUUGUACGUGAAAAAAGUCAGAAUCCCUCUUUCAAGACCUACUAUAAACCUGCUAUAAAACUUCA